UACGUAGGUGGCAAGCGUUGUCCGGAUUUAUUGGGUUUAAAGGGUGCGUAGGCGGCCUUGUAAGUCAGUGGUGAAAUACUCCAGCUUAACUGGAGGGGUGCCAAUGAUACUGCAGGGCUUGAGUACAGAUGAGGUAGGCGGAAUUGACGGUGUAGCGGUGAAAUGCAUAGAUAUCGUCAAGAACACCGAUAGCGAAGGCAGCUUACUGGGCUGUAACUGACGCUGAGGCACGAAAGUGUGGGGAGCAAACGGG
rnacentral:rRNA from 1 species